rnacentral:rRNA from 1 species
UACGGAGGGUGCAAGCGUUGUCCGGAAUCACUGGGCGUAAAGGGCGCGUAGGCGGCUCAUGAAGGCUGUGGUGAAAGUCCGGGGCUCAACCUCGGAUCGGCCGUGGCGACUCGUGGGCUGGAGCACUGUAGAGGCGGGUGGAAUUCCGGGUGUAGCGGUGGAAUGCGUAGAGAUCCGGAAGAACACCGGUGGCGAAGGCGGCCUGCUGGGCAGUUGCUGACACUGAGGCGCGGACAGCGUGGGGAGCAAACAGG